UCCGGUUGAUCCCGCCGGAGGUUACUGCUAUCGAGGUUCGACUAAGCCAUGCGAGUCGAAUGUAGCAAUACAUGGCGUACUGCUCAGUAACACGUGGAUAACCUACCCUUGAGAUGGGGAUAAACCCGGGAAACUGGGUAUAAUACCCAAUAGAUCUCGACUGCUGGAAUGCAUCGAGCUCCAAAGCUUUGGCGCUCAAGGAUGGAUCUGCGGCCUAUCAGGUAGUAGUGGGUGUAGCGUACCUACUAGCCUACGACGGGUACGGGUUGUGAGAGCAAGAGCCCGGAGAUGGAUUCUGAGACACGAAUCCAGGCCCUACGGGGUGCAGCAGGCGCGAAAACUUUACAAUGCUGGAAACAGCGAUAAGGGGACCUCGAGUGCCAGGUUACAAAUCUGGCUGUCGUGAUGCCUAAAAAGCAUUGCAUAGCAAGGGCCGGGCAAGACCGGUGCCAGCCGCCGCGGUAACACCGGCGGCUCGAGUGGUAACCGUUAUUAUUGGGUCUAAAGGGUCUGUAGCCGGCCGGAUAAGUCUCUUGGGAAAUCUGGCAGCUUAACUGUCAGGCUUUCAGGAGAUACUGUCUGGCUCGAGGCCGGGAGAGGUGAGAGGUACUUCAGGGGUAGGGGUGAAAUCUUGUAAUCCUUGAAGGACCACCAGUGGCGAAGGCGUCUCACCAGAGCGGACCUGACGGCAAGGGACGAAAGCUAGGGGCACGAACCGGAUUAGAUACCCGGGUAGUCCUAGCCGUAAACGAUACUCGCUAGGUGUCGGCAACGGUGCGACCGUUGUCGGUGCCGUAGGGAAGCCGUGAAGCGAGCCACCUGGGAAGUACGGCCGCAAGGCUGAAACUUAAAGGAAUUGGCGGGGGAGCACCACAA
rnacentral:rRNA from 1 species